CUCUCGCACCCAAAGCGAGAAUCAUACCCCUAGACCAACAAGCCGCUGUAACAUCUAGUGGAAAAAACGUCGACAUAUAAAACGACCGGAAGGCCUACUUUUCGUUAUUGGUGGUUUCCGGUAUGGGAAUCCUUCCGUCUGACCAUGAAGGUUCCUCCCUUUUGUUGGGUGUCAGCCUAGAUCGUUUUCAGAUUUUGCAACAAGAACUACGAUGCAAUACAUCGUAUUGAGUAAACACCUGUUUCAUUGAGUAAACACCUGUAUUGCUGUACCUGAUGAAGUAACUUAUUCACUACAAGUGUUUGAUCGCCUGGCACUGGAAUGGACAUACUUUGAAGUGUUAAUCAGGUGUUUGAACAAUGGAAAAUAAACACAAAGAAGCUAUCAGAAAGAAUUACACCUUUCUUAUAGGAAACUUGAUGCCAGAAUCUGUAGUAGACUUUCUCGUUCAAGAAGAUAUCCUCACUGCAUAUAUGAAGGAGGACAUAUGUGUAUGUAGAACAUCAAGAGACAAAAUUGUAAAAUUGUUGGAUAUUCUUACGAGACGAGGGCCUACAGCAUUUGAUGUUUUCAUCAGGGCACUUCAUGAUACAGAACAGGACUUUGUGGCAGAAAGACUCUUAACAACUAUCCAAAGUGGUCAGAAUCAACAAAAUCUCAAUGACUUAAAUAUUUGAUAAUUUUUUAAUUUUGUUUUAUUGUCUUUCACAGAUAAUAUAGUAAAAUAUAUCACACGUUAAGGAGAUAAAAGCUGUAUACUUUUAGUUAAGAGAAGUUCAACCUUAUAAUAUGCAAUAAAGUAUGGUUACUAACCAC